CAGUAGCCGCGGGAAAACGAAGGGUGCAAGCGUUACUCGGAAUUACUGGGCGUAAAGCGUGUGUAGGUGGUUGUUUAAGUCUGUCGUGAAAGCCCUGGGCUCAACCUGGGAAUUGCGAUGGAUACUGGGCGACUAGAGUGCGGUAGAGGAUAGUGGAAUUUCCGGUGUAGCAGUGAAAUGCGUAGAGAUCGGAAGGAACAUCUGUGUCGAAGGCGACUAUCUGGGCCAACACUGACACUGAGGCACGAAAGCGUGGGGAGCAAACAGGAUUAGAUACCCGCGUAGUCCCUGUCUCUUAUAC
rnacentral:rRNA from 1 species